GGGUUCUGGCUCCUGAAUGGGGCAUUGGGCUGAUGAGAACCGGAGGCUUGGGACUGGGUCCAGUACUGCAUAGGAGCUUGGGAUCUGGGCAAGGGGUGACCAAAGCUCCUCGGCUUUUGGAACUGGUCCUGCUGUUGAGCCUUGCCUUCCAGGAACCGACGCUUGUUGUCCCUUCGUUCAUCUGCUUUGGCCCUCUCAGUCAGGAUGGUCAUGUUCAUCAGAGUGUUGAAGUCGGGGUAGAUCUGAGGAGUAAGCAGGGUCCUCAGUUCGACAUUCAAACCCUUCUUGAAC
rnacentral:lncRNA from 1 species